rnacentral:lncRNA from 1 species
UUAAAGUAAAUGUUUGGGGCUUCGUGUAAAUCUUUCAUCCGAUGAAAACGUUUGUGAAUUGCUGGCUUCUGACUCAUGAGUCACGCUCUCUGGUUAAGUUUGUGUCUUCAUGUUUCUGUGUGUUUGGCUUCGGUCCUGCUGGAGAGCGUGAAGCAGACCCACCCACUCACACACACACACACACACACACACACACACACACACGGCCCUCCUCCUCCAGAUACAGGACACUUUUGUUCUGUGUUUUCAUCCGGAGUCCAGCGAGUCGAGAGCGAGAGACAGUGUGACAGAAGAGACGCUUCCACAGACGCUUCAGAGCUCAAGUCAAAGGUGAGCGUGAGCUUCUGCUCUUCAUUCUGUUGGUUUCUCAUCAGUGUUUGUGACAGACAUCACGUCUCUCCCCUGCAGGUCUGUCAUGGGCCGCUGGUCGACACGUCUGGCUCUUCUGAUGCUCCUCAUUGGUCAGAUUUCCGCAGGAAUCUCUCCAUCAAGCCCAGAAGAGUUGAACGAAACAAAUGUGUGGCAUUACUGCUUCAUCAGCGGUUAAAGGGACAGUUCAUCCUCAAACCAUCGUUCUGUCAUCAUUCUGUGCUUCUUUUGUGUUCUGAAGAAGAAAGAAAGUCAUACGGGUUUGAAACGACAUGAAGGCAAGAAAACGAGAACUUUUUGGGUGAAGUCUCCUUUGAAGAAUAAUUCUGCGUUUCUAUAAUUGUGGACAUGAAGACGCGG